rnacentral:rRNA from 1 species
UACAGAGGUCUCAAGCGUUGUUCGGAUUCACUGGGCGUAAAGGGUGCGUAGGCGGUCGGGUAAGUCUGGCGUGAAAUCUCCAAGCCUAACUUGGAAACUGCGUUGGAUACUAUCCGGCUCGAGGAAUGGAGGGGAGACUGGAAUACUUGGUGUAGCAGUGAAAUGCGUAGAUAUCAAGUGGAACACCAGUGGCGAAGGCGAGUCUCUGGACAUUUUCUGACGCUGAGGCACGAAAGCCAGGGGAGCAAACAGG